rnacentral:rRNA from 1 species
ACGGUGCUGAAGCAACAAAUGCCCUGCUUCCAGGAAAAGCCUCUAAGCAUCAGGUAACAUCAAAUCGUACCCCAAACCGACACAGGUGGUCAGGUAGAGAAUACCAAGGCGCUUGAGAGAACUCGGGUGAAGGAACUAGGCAAAAUGGUGCCGUAACUUCGGGAGAAGGCACGCUGAUAUGUAGGUGAAGUCCCUCGCGGAUGGAGCUGAAAUCAGUCGAAGAUACCAGCUGGCUGCAACUGUUUAUUAAAAACACAGCACUGUGCAAACACGAAAGUGGACGUAUACGGUGUGACGCCUGCCCGGUGCCGGAAGGUUAAUUGAUGGGGUCAGCGCAAGCGAAGCUCUUGAUCGAAGCCCCGGUAAACGGCGGCCGUAACUAUAACGGUCCUAAGGUAGCGAAAUUCCUUGUCGGGUAAGUUCCGACCUGCACGAAUGGCGUAAUGAUGGCCAGGCUGUCUCCACCCGAGACUCAGUGAAAUUGAACUCGCUGUGAAGAUGCAGUGUACCCGCGGCAAGACGGAAAGACCCCGUGAACCUUUACUAUAGCUUGACACUGAACAUUGAGCCUUGAUGUGUAGGAUAGGUGGGAGGCUUUGAAGUGUGGACGCCAGUCUGCAUGGAGCCGACCUUGAAAUACCACCCUUUAAUGUUUGAUGUUCUAACGUUGACCCGUAAUCCGGGUUGCGGACAGUGUCUGGUGGGUAGUUUGACUGGGGCGGUCUCCUCCUAAAGAGUAACGGAGGAGCACGAAGGUUGGCUAAUCCUGGUCGGACAUCAGGAGGUUAGUGCAAUGGCAUAAGCCAGCUUGACUGCGAGCGUGACGGCGCGAGCAGGUGCGAAAGCAGGUCAUAGUGAUCCGGUGGUUCUGAAUGGAAGGGCCAUCGCUCAACGGAUAAAAGGUACUCCGGGGAUAACAGGCUGAUACCGCCCAAGAGUUCAUAUCGACGGCGGUGUUUGGCACCUCGAUGUCGGCUCAUCACAUCCUGGGGCUGAAGUAGGUCCCAAGGGUAUGGCUGUUCGCCAUUUAAAGUGGUACGCGAGCUGGGUUUAGAACGUCGUGAGACAGUUCGGUCCCUAUCUGCCGUGGGCGCUGGAGAACUGAGGGGGGCUGCUCCUAGUACGAGAGGACCGGAGUGGACGCAUCACUGGUGUUCGGGUUGUCAUGCCAAUGGCACUGCCCGGUAGCUAAAUGCGGAAGAGAUAAGUGCUGAAAGCAUCUAAGCACGAAACUUGCCCCGAGAUGAGUUCUCCCUGACUCCUUGAGAGUCCUGAAGGAACGUUGAAG